rnacentral:rRNA from 1 species
UACGUAGGGUGCGAGCGUUGUCCGGAAUUAUUGGGCGUAAAGAGCUCGUAGGCGGUUUGUCACGUCGGAUGUGAAACCCCGGGGCUUAACUCCGGGCCUGCAUUCGAUACGGGCUGACUAGAGUUCGGCAGGGGAGACUGGAAUUCCUGGUGUAGCGGUGAAAUGCGCAGAUAUCAGGAGGAACACCGGUGGCGAAGGCAGCUCGCUGGAACGGUACUGACGCUGAGGCGCGAAAGCGUGGGGAGCGAACAGG